rnacentral:rRNA from 1 species
GACGAACGCUGGCGGCGUGCUUAACACAUGCAAGUCGAACGGAAAGGCCUCUUUCGGGGGGUACUCGAGUGGCGAACGGGUGAGUAACACGUGAGUAACCUGCCCUUGACUUUGGGAUAACUUCAGGAAACUGGGGCUUAUACCGGAUAGGAGCUCCUGCUGCAUGGUGGGGGUUGGAAAGUUUCGGCGGUUGGGGAUGGACUCGCGGCUUAUCAGCUUGUUGGUGGGGUAGUGGCUUACCAAGGCUUUGACGGGUAGCCGGCCUGAGAGGGUGACCGGCCACAUUGGGACUGAGAUACGGCCCAGACUCCUACGGGAGGCAGCAGUGGGGAAUAUUGCACAAUGGGUGGAAGCCUGAUGCAGCAACGCCGUGUGCGGGAUGACGGCCUUCGGGUUGUAAACCGCUUUCGCUCAUGACGAAGCUUUGUGUGACGGUAGUGGGUAAAGAAGCACCGGCUAACUACGUG